rnacentral:SRP_RNA from 1 species
GCCGGGUGCAGUGGCCCAUGACUGUAGUCCCAGCUACUCAGGAGGUUGAGGUGGGAGGAUCGCUUGAGCCCGGGAGUUCUAGGCUAUAAUGCACUAUGCCGAUCGGGUGUCUGCACUAAGUUCAGCAUCAAUAUGGUGACCUCCUGGGAGUGGGGGACCACCAGGUUGCCUAAGGAGGGGUGAACCUGCCCAGGUUGGAAACGGAGCAGGUCAAAACUCCUGUGCUGCUCAGUAGUGGGAUCACGCCUGUGAAUAGCCACUGUACUCCAGCCUAGGCAACACAGCGGACUCCGUCUCU